rnacentral:siRNA from 1 species
UGAAACUCUCAUAAGCCUGUUGC